rnacentral:lncRNA from 1 species
UAGUGCCAGUCAGAUGACAGACAACACACAUGAAGCAAUGGAUUGGUUUGAACUGCGUUUCUUGCUUCUGAUGGGUUUGCUGCCUCUCUACAGCGGCACCAACACGACAGCCAACAGUACAUCCACACUUUCUGUAACUCCACUCAGCAUUACAAACACCACCACAACACCCUCACAAGAUAACAGCAGCACUUCAGACUUCUCCAUUACUGCCAGUGCAGCCCCCGACACAGCCAACGCUACCAUUACUUACCCACCACUCAAUAUCACCACACCUUCAUCUUCCAAUGCCAAUGCUUCUACAGAAGACAGCAUGGGGAGCAACAGCACUACGGAAGCCAGCGUGGGAAACAACAGCACUACAACUUCACCAGGAACCACCAUCC